GAUGAAGAACGUAGCGAAAUGCGAUACGUAAUGUGAAUUGCAGAAUUCAGUGAAUCAUCGAAUCUUUGAACGCAUAUUGCGCUCUCUGGUAUUCCGGAGAGCAUGCUUGUUUGAGUAUCAGUAAACACCUCAACUCCCUUUUCUUUUUUGAAAUUGGAGCUGGACUUGAGUGAUCCCAACGCUUUCUUCCAAGAAAGUGGCGGGUUGCUUGAAAUGCAGGUGGAGCUGAACUUUUCUCUGAGCUAUAAGCAUAUCUAUUUAGUCUGCCUAAAAAACAGAUUAUUACCUUUGCUGCAGCUAACAUAAAGGAGACUAGUUCUUGUGCUGACUGAUGCAGGAUUCACAGAGACAGCUUCGGCUGACUUUGUAAACUCGAUCUCAAAUCAAGUAAGACUACCCGCUGAACUUAAGCAUAUCAAUAAGCGGAGGA
rnacentral:misc_RNA from 1 species